GGAAUAUUCCACAAUGAGCGAAAGCUUGAUGGAGCGACACAGCGUGUAGGAUGAAUGCCUUAGGGUUGUAAACUACUGUUAUAAGAGAAGAAUAGCUAAAAAAGGAAAUGUUUUUAGUCUGACGGUAUCUUAUCAGAAAGCAGUUGCAAACUAUGUGCCAGCAGCAGCGGUAAUACAUAGACUGCAAGCGUUAUCCGGAAUUAUUGGGCGUAAAGCAUUCGUAGGUUGUUUAUUAAGUUUGGUGUUAAAAACAAAAGCUCAACUUUUGUUUGCAUUAAAUACUAAUAGACUAGAGUUAUAAAGAGGUUAAUGGAACUCCAUAUGAAGCGGUGGAAUGCGUAGAUAUGUGGAAGAACACCAAUGGCGAAGGCAAUUAACUGGAUAUACACUGACACUGAGGGAUGAAAGCGUGGGGAGCAAACAG
rnacentral:rRNA from 4 species